rnacentral:rRNA from 1 species
CAGUCGCCACGGUAAUACGUAGGUCCCGAGCGUUGUCCGGAUUUAUUGGGCGUAAAGCGAGCGCAGGCGGUUAGAUAAGUCUGAAGUUAAAGGCUGUGGCUUAACCGUAGUACGCUUUGGAAACUGUUUAACUUGAGUGCAAGAGGGGAGAGUGGAAUUCCAUGUGUAGCGGUGAAAUGCGUAGAUAUAUGGAGGAACACCGGUGGCGAAAGCGGCUCUCUGGCUUGUAACUGACGCUGAGGCUCGAAAGCGUGGGGCGCAAACAGGAUUAGAUACCCGCGUAGUCCCUGUCUCUUAUACA